CCAAGCUGCUAAUAGGAAGUUUCGUUCAUCUUGCUUGGGUGAAUGCUCAGAUAGGAUCUGAUCAGCAGAGGUGCUCGCUGCAACUGAACUUGGGCAACUUCAACUCCCACUCAAUGCGUUUGCCAGGUCCCAGAACCAGUCCACAGACAGCUCAGGGAGAAAAGGACCUAGAGCUGAGAAUCUCAGUUGUCCCAGAUGUGGAAGUAAGG
rnacentral:lncRNA from 1 species